GUUUGUGAAUAGUUUUGUUUGUAUGAUUGAAAUUAUUACAGUACUGUUAAAAAAAUUUGAAAUGUUUGUUGAUAUUCGUUGUCCAAUCAGGGUUGAGUGUAUUUUGAGUUGUUCAACGACUUCCGCUUUUUGCACAGCAAACGCGGCACGCGGAUAUAUUUUGGCCGAAUUUUGUUAUUCUCUCACGGAUUUCAGAGCGAAUUUAAGCUCUUUGAUUAAAGCAUCGUUGUUUUGAG